UUAAGUGACUAAGCGUACACGGUGGAUGCCUGGGCAGUCAGAGGCGAUGAAGGACGUACUAACUUGCGAUAAGCGCAGAUAAGGCAGUAAGAGCCGUUUGAGUCUGCGAUUUCCGAAUGGGGAAACCCAACUGCAUAAGCAGUUACUGUUAACUGAAUCCAUAGGUUAACAGAGCAAACCGGGGGAACUGAAACAUCUAAGUACCCCGAGGAGAAGAAAUCAACCGAGAUUCCGGUAGUAGCGGCGAGCGAACCUGGAUUAGCCCUUAAGCACUCGUUGAAGUAGGUGAACAAGCUGGAAAGCUUGGCGAUACAGGGUGAUAGCCCCGUAACCGACGCUUCAUCGAGCGUGAAAUCGAGUAGGGCGGGACACGUGAUAUCCUGUCUGAAUAUGGGGGGACCAUCCUCCAAGGCUAAAUACUCCUGACUGACCGAUAGUGAACCAGUACCGUGAGGGAAAGGCGAAAAGAACCCCUGUGAGGGGAGUGAAAUAGAACCUGAAACCGUGUACGUACAAGCAGUAGGAGCACCUUCGUGGUGUGACUGCGUACCUUUUGUAUAAUGGGUCAGCGACUUAUAUUCAGUGGCAAGGUUAACCGUAUAGGGGAGCCGUAGCGAAAGCGAGUCUUAACUGGGCGUUCAGUCUCUGGAUAUAGACCCGAAACCGGGUGAUCUAGCCAUGGGCAGGUUGAAGGUUGAGUAACAUCAACUGGAGGACCGAACCGACUAAUGUUGAAAAAUUAGCGGAUGACUUGUGGCUAGGGGUGAAAGGCCAAUCAAACUCGGAGAUAGCUGGUUCUCCCCGAAAGCUAUUUAGGUAGCGCCUCGGACGAAUACUACUGGGGGUAGAGCACUGUUAAGGCUAGGGGGUCAUCCCGACUUACCAACCCUUUGCAAACUCCGAAUACCAGUAAGUACUAUCCGGGAGACACACGGCGGGUGCUAACGUCCGUCGUGGAGAGGGAAACAACCCAGACCGCCAGCUAAGGUCCCAAAGUAUUGCUAAGUGGGAAACGAUGUGGGAAGGCUCAGACAGCUAGGAUGUUGGCUUAGAAGCAGCCAUCAUUUAAAGAAAGCGUAAUAGCUCACUAGUCGAGUCGGCCUGCGCGGAAGAUGUAACGGGGCUAAGCAAUACACCGAAGCUGCGGCAAUGUCUUUUAGACAUUGGGUAGGGGAGCGUUCUGUAAGCCGUUGAAGGUGAAUCGUAAGGUUUGCUGGAGGUAUCAGAAGUGCGAAUGCUGACAUGAGUAACGACAAAGGGGGUGAAAAACCUCCUCGCCGGAAGACCAAGGGUUCCUGUCCAACGUUAAUCGGGGCAGGGUGAGUCGACCCCUAAGGUGAGGCCGAAAGGCGUAAUCGAUGGGAAACGGGUUAAUAUUCCCGUACUUCUGACUAUUGCGAUGGGGGGACGGAGAAGGCUAGGUGGGCCAGGCGACGGUUGUCCUGGUUCAAGUGCGUAGGCUUGAGAGUUAGGUAAAUCCGGCUCUCUCUAAGGCUGAGACACGACGUCGAGCUCUACGGAGUGAAGUCAUUGAUGCCAUGCUUCCAGGAAAAGCCUCUAAGCUUCAGAUAGUCAGGAAUCGUACCCCAAACCGACACAGGUGGUCGGGUAGAGAAUACCAAGGCGCUUGAGAGAACUCGGGUGAAGGAACUAGGCAAAAUGGUACCGUAACUUCGGGAGAAGGUACGCUCUUGAUGGUGAAGUCCCUCGCGGAUGGAGCUGACGAGAGUCGCAGAUACCAGGUGGCUGCAACUGUUUAUUAAAAACACAGCACUGUGCAAAAUCGCAAGAUGACGUAUACGGUGUGACGCCUGCCCGGUGCCGGAAGGUUAAUUGAUGGGGUUAGCGCAAGCGAAGCUCUUGAUCGAAGCCCCGGUAAACGGCGGCCGUAACUAUAACGGUCCUAAGGUAGCGAAAUUCCUUGUCGGGUAAGUUCCGACCUGCACGAAUGGCGUAAUGAUGGCCACGCUGUCUCCACCCGAGACUCAGUGAAAUUGAAAUCGCUGUGAAGAUGCAGUGUACCCGCGGCUAGACGGAAAGACCCCGUGAACCUUUACUACAGCUUGGCACUGAACAUUGAACCUACAUGUGUAGGAUAGGUGGGAGGCUAUGAAGACGUGACGCCAGUUGCGUUGGAGCCGUCCUUGAAAUACCACCCUUGUAUGUUUGAUGUUCUAACUUAGACCCGUUAUCCGGGUUGAGGACAGUGCCUGGUGGGUAGUUUGACUGGGGCGGUCUCCUCCCAAAGAGUAACGGAGGAGCACGAAGGUGGGCUAAUCACGGUUGGACAUCGUGAGGUUAGUGCAAUGGCAUAAGCCCGCUUAACUGCGAGAAUGACGGUUCGAGCAGGUGCGAAAGCAGGUCAUAGUGAUCCGGUGGUUCUGUAUGGAAGGGCCAUCGCUCAACGGAUAAAAGGUACUCCGGGGAUAACAGGCUGAUACCGCCCAAGAGUUCAUAUCGACGGCGGUGUUUGGCACCUCGAUGUCGGCUCAUCACAUCCUGGGGCUGAAGUCGGUCCCAAGGGUAUGGCUGUUCGCCAUUUAAAGUGGUACGCGAGCUGGGUUUAGAACGUCGUGAGACAGUUCGGUCCCUAUCUGCCGUGGGCGUUGGAAGAUUGAAGGGGGCUGCUCCUAGUACGAGAGGACCGGAGUGGACGAACCUCUGGUGUUCGGGUUGUGUCGCCAGACGCAUUGCCCGGUAGCUAAGUUCGGAAUUGAUAAGCGCUGAAAGCAUCUAAGCGCGAAGCGAGCCCUGAGAUGAGUCUUCCCUGAUACUUUAAGUAUCCUAAAGGGUUGUUCGAGACUAGAACGUUGAUAGGCAGGGUGUGUAAGCGUUGUGAGGCGUUGAGCUAACCUGUACUAAUUGCCCGUGAGGCUUAACCAU
rnacentral:rRNA from 1 species